AAGCUGGUAAAAAGUGCCCCGGCCGGCUGCAGCGGCUAAGAAGAUUAGAAGGGGGGUUGAGCGCGCCUCCAGCCUGCCCCUGGAGGCGGUCUACGGGACCGCAGGCUGGAGGCGCGCCGGCGUGAUUCCGACCGCGGGAGCCGGGAGGAGGAGCCGGAGGUAGCUGCGGGGGGCUCCGGCCCUGGAGAAGGAAGGGCAAGAGGCGGCUCGGGCCAGGGGCAGCGCCGGGAGGGUGUAAGGGCGGAGGCGGAGAGCCAGGGACCGCAGAGCCAUCCCCGGAGCGGGACGCGAACCGGCAGAGUUGGGAGAAGCGCCUCCGAGCCCAGGAGCCGAGCAUGCUGCCCCCGCGUGCGGCGCCCGCGUGCACCCAGCCCGGAGAGGGGGCGCAGAGCGGAGGCGGUGGCCCCCGGAAGGUAUCUGGGACCGGACCGGCUGCACGUGAGCCCAGCGCGGGGUCAUGUGCACCGGCUCAGCCCGG